rnacentral:antisense_RNA from 1 species
AGUGUUAUAGUUUUGAAGUGCUAUAAAAGCGUUAUUGAAAGCGCGUUUAAUACCCCUUUAGAAUUUAUAAAGAUCAAAAACUCGCAAAAAAAAUGAGAAUUAAAAUUGGAGUGAUAAUGGUGGCCACGACUGGACUUGAACCAGCGGCCACUACCA